GACGAACGCUGGCGGCGUGCCUAAUACAUGCAAGUAGAACGCACAGUUUAUACCGUAGCUUGCUACACCAUAGACUGUGAGUUGCGAACGGGUGAGUAACGCGUAGGUAACCUGCCUGGUAGCGGGGGAUAACUAUUGGAAACGAUAGCUAGUACCGCAUAAUAUUAAUUAUUGCAUGAUAAUUAAUUGAAAGGUGCAAUUGCACCACUACCAGAUGGACCUGCGUUGUAUUAGCUAGUAGGUGAGGUAACGGCUCACCUAGGCGACGAUACAUAGCCGACCUGAGAGGGUGAUCGGCCACACUGGGACUGAGACACGGCCCAGACGCCUACGGGAGGCAGCAGUAGGGAAUCUUCGGCAAUGGACGAAAGUCUGACCGAGCAACGCCGCGUGAGUGAAGAAGGUUUUCGGAUCGUAAAGCUCGGUUGUAAGAGAAGAACGGGUGUGAGAGUGGAAAGUUCACACUGUGACGGUAUCUUACCAGAAAGGGACGGCUAACUACGUG
rnacentral:rRNA from 1 species